CAAGAGCGUAUGUAAAAGUUGUUGCAGUUAAAAAGCUCGUAGUUGAACCUUGGGUUUGGUUGGCCGGUCCGCUUUUUUGCGAGUACUGGAUUCAACCGAGCCUUUCCUUCUGGCUAACCAGUCGUUUCGGCGGCUGGCGAACCAGGAUUUUUACUUUGAGAAAAUUAGAGUGUUCAAAGCAGGCAUUAGCUUGAAUAUAUUAGCAUGGAAUAAUAGAAUAGGACGUUAUGGUUCUAUUUUGUUGGUUUCUAGGACCAUCGUAAUGAUUAAUAGGGACGGUCGGGGGCAUCAGUAUUCAGUUGUCAGAGGUGAAACUCUUGGAUUUACUGAAGACUAACUACUGCGAAAGCAUUUGCCAAGGACGUUUUCAUUAA
rnacentral:rRNA from 1 species